CUGCUACAUGCCCCCGCCCGAAACCCCCUCUCGGUCCCCGCUUGCGAUGCCCCCGGUGUGACGCCCGCGCUCGCCUCCUCAUGGAUCGCACGCCCACCCCGCGUACAUCUCUGGGCGGCGAUGCCCGCCCCAUCCUUGCUCCAUUCUCGCGGUCGUCGGUCGACCCUACCUCGCCAUCCCCCAUCCCAUUCGCUUGCACCAGCGGCCCGAGCUCCAGGUCGAGUGCCGAGCUGUAGAAGGGCAAGAUCUACUUCCUCAUGCCGGUCAUGGCAAGUUGCCCACCCCGACGCCUGCGCCCAAUAAGCCGCCCGUCGAUCGCCGGUCAAUCCGCUUCGGUGCGAGGAGGCGACAACGUCCUCUUGCUCCGAUCCACCUCUCCCCCAACCCGCUAGGACGCCGCUGCCGAGAGCGAGCAGAGGCUUCCCUCCUCCGACGGGGGAGGAAGAUGCUCACCAAGUUCGAAACCAAGUGCAACCGGGUCAAGGACCUCGCCUUCCACUCGCGUCGUCCAUGGAUCCUGUCUAGCCUCUACAGCAGCGUCACCCAGAUGUGGGUCUACCGCAUGGGCACCAUCCUCAACCGCUUCGCAGUGGCGUCCAGUUCCACGCCACAUAAUCGCUCUUUGUAUCCGGAGUAGUAUCGCUCCCCUUCCUGACUGGACGUACUCCUAGCCCACUAGCAUUGGCCUUGAGCACGCACGAAGGCUCAUUCAUCAGUAACUAUCCGGUGAUUUGCCGUAUAAACUGUCACAUGAUGUUUCUACCUCACAAGUGGUUGUACUCAAGCAAUUGAGAUAAUUUGCUCUGUGUUAGCUCGUCAUGGUGCAAACAUCCUACUUCCAAGACUUGGAUUUAUGUUCUAUGAAGCGCGUGCUGUUUUCAAUGGCAUGGAGGCCAUGUACUUCAAACAGCGACGUCAAGGAAGAUGAUGAUGGUCGUAGGGAUCGACGAUAGCGAGCAAAACUUCUACACACUGAAGUGGGCACACUGCAGCACUUCUUCCCGCCAAGCAAGCUGCAACAGUACUGCCUUGUCGUCGUCACCGUCAAGCCCUCUGCCGCCUCCAGUGUCCGCCCUGCCAGCCCAGGUAUGCGAAUCUCCAAUCCAUGUGAGGAUUCAGGGCUAGACUAGAUGUAGCUUCCGACCUAUAUGAUUAGUUGUAUGUGGAGAGCAAACAAUCAACUUACACCUAGGUCUAAAUAAAAUAGUGGUGGUUAAAUCUUUGAAUCUGUAGAUCAAACCAUCUCAAGUAAUUUUAGUUUUGUUAUGAAAAUUUUUAGCUCCAAUGAAAUAAUUGCAUUUUAAUUAUUAAGAUUUAACAUACAUUUGGUUCUAUGAGGAAGGAAAUCAUAAGUCGAGAUUAAAGUUGAUCAACUCGACACUCGAACAACUGAAUGAGCAAGUAUUACAAGUGCUGAAAGUUGUGAGUGCUCAAGUCCAACUUCUUUAUCGCAUAAGUUUUGGUGAAGAUACUUAUUCUGGAACCUUUAAAAGCAUCAACGUUAGUGUUCAAGAACUCAAAGAGUAAAUGAAGAUGGAAGACCAAGAUGAUAUUUAUGGAGACUAUUCUGAUACAUUGUCAAGCACUGAGUUCGACAAUAUGAACAUCUCAACAUACUGAUCCAUGGAAGAACAUGUAUCAUUGUUUAAUGAUGAGGAAAGACAGGGAUUUCUCUUAAGUACAAUGCUUGCUAGCGUGUGCGACAUGCCAGAUCACCCAAAAGAUUGACAAAUGAUGUGUAUAUGGUUGAUUCAUUUAAUUUUGUUAUGCAUUUUGGUCACUAUAAGAAUGCAUUCUUUAUGUGUGCUAAUAUGACAUCCUAGGACCUGACGCUUCAAUUUUCAAAUUGGUUAUUGAUGUAUCUUUUUACAUGAA